rnacentral:lncRNA from 1 species
UUUCUCUCGGUUUGAAAAGAAAAUCUUCACUUGCCUCUGUAAUCAUCAAGAGAAUGGUUAAAUGCAUUCCCAAUUUUGAAGCUACUUCUUCCAUCUGAUAUUUUUACCCUCAUUUCUACUUUUGUUGAUUAAGUGGUGAAUUCACUAUCCAGGUGAACUGAUAGGUAGCUGAAUGAACCCUUUGGCCUGGUUUUUAUCUGUAGCCUGCCUUGACUUUCAGCCAACUUUUUAUUCCAGGGCAAAGCUCAGCAAAUAAGAUGA